UACGGAGGGUGCGAGCGUUGUCCGGAAUCACUGGGCGUAAAGGGCGCGUAGGCGGCGCGGGCAGUCAACGGUGAAAGCUUGGGGCUCAACCCCGAGUCGGCCGUCGAUACUCCCGGGCUUGAGCACUGUAGAGGCAGGUGGAAUUCCGGGUGUAGCGGUGGAAUGCGUAGAGAUCCGGAAGAACACCGGUGGCGAAGGCGGCUCACUGGCCCGGUACUGACGCUGAGAUACGAAAGCGUGGGGAGCAAACAGG
rnacentral:rRNA from 1 species